GGGCAGCCUGGCGGGGAAACCGUUACCAUUACUGUGUUUAGUAAUGGUAAGGGUUCUCCCGCUGCGCUGAGU
rnacentral:pre_miRNA from 15 species